CUGGUUUGCGUUCUGCUCGCGUUGGUUACAGUGGGCGUUGUCACACUUAUUGGGAGAAGAUGGAACCAACAUAAAAUCUCUCAGCAGCAGCAGGCCAGCAAUUUCGUCUGGUUCACCUCUAAUUCAUCGGCUCUGGAGCUCCACCGUCAAGGUUCUGCAGUGGAGAACAUCUACCAGAUCGAUGCUGGCUGCAGCAACAGUGGUUACGAAGUCGGUCCCUGAGGCCUGAAAGGACGACGAGCUGCAGAUGAAUAACACAA